GCAACUACAUGCUAUGUAGCACUGUCUCCCCAGGUUAAGGGGCUAACUGGCGAAUAUUUUAUGGACAGUAACCUAGCUAAACCAAAUUCUCAGGCUAAAGAUGCAGAAUUGGCCAAAAAACUAUGGGAUUUCAGCUUGAAAUUGACCAAUCCCAAGUAGCUAACUGAUUGAGUCGAUGGCCUCGUAUUAAUAUGAACUAGUUUGGUUUAGGGUCUUUUAUCUGUGGUGUGGACUUUUAAUUUUAUAUGGUUCUUGACCAUCCAUCUAGCUUGUAUGUUUCUGUUUAUGUUCUCAACUAUUUUCCCGACUUGUAUCAAAGUACUGCUUUUCAUCAAAGGUGUAUGUGGGC
rnacentral:misc_RNA from 1 species